GCUAGCAGCCAUACCACUCUGCAACUCACAACAGCACCCCACUAAAGCUAAGCAGAUGUGAGCCUGGUCAGUACCUGCAUGGGAGACCUCCUGGGAACAACUAAGGUUGCUGCUGGAA
rnacentral:rRNA from 1 species